CGAAAAAUUAAAAAAGAAAAAAAGAAGGGAAAAAAAACCAAAUAGGAAAGUGAUUAGAUAUGGAAAUUUCUUGCGAAAGAAUCCAAUUCAAUAAAUAUUAUAUAUAACCAUCUCAUCGGAGAAUUUCACCUGAGUUGUCCUUUUUCUCUCUGCCGGAGCCGCCGCUCUCUGCCUCUAAUUUCCUCUGUUUCACCGCCGAUUUUCACUCACCAUCUCCGCCGAUAACCGCCCACCGCCCCUCUGUCGCACCGGAAAAGAGAAACCAAGUCGAUUUCUGUGCAGUUUUAAACUAUGAAAAAGUCCUAUGUUGUUUCACAAGUGAACCAACAAAGUCACAACUUUGUUAACUUGCAUGAAUUCUUGAAGACAAAGAGAGGCAUUUUGAAGAUCGCAAAGAAAUCAUUGCCAACCAACAAGUGGAAUGGCAACGUCAAACAUAAUUCUGAAAAAUUUGGCGAGAAUUUCUCUAUUAAAGAGUAUCACGGUUCGAUUUGGAUUGGUGAUCGUUUAUUUCGCAAAACUGGGUCUAGCCUUAUUUUCUUGACCAAGAACAGAGCACCCACCAGCCCAAAUUCAAAUCCUCCCGCAGAGUUCGUUGUCAAAUCUUGUUUAAUGGAUUCCUCUUCUUCACAUCCAACACGAGAAGGAAGUGCUAAACAAUCUAGGACCAUUUACUAAUCUAGUUCAUUGUUGUGGAGAUGAAAUAACAAUGACGAAAUCUGGUGAAAAGGUUUAUAAUCUUCUAUUCGAGUAUUGCUCUGGCUCUAGCUUGCGGGAUCACAUUCUCAAAUUUGGACCUAAUGGGUUACUGGAAUAUGAAGUUCGUCAGUACACAAGAGAUAUUGUGUAUGGACUUUAUUACAUGCAUUGUAAUGGUCGGUAUAUUCAUGGCGACAUAAAAUCAAGAAAUAUUUUAAUAUCACCUAGUGGAGCUAAGUUAGCAGUUUUGGAUUGGCUAGGAAGCUCACUGCUGAAGUAUUUUGUGAGGAAGAAAUUAGGGGUUCGGGAUCGUAUAUACCUCUGGAGUUGGCUAACGAUGGUUAUUUAGAUUGGUCCGUUGAUAUUUGGACACUUGGAUGUGUGGUGUUGGAGAUGUUGAUGGGAAAGCCUCUUGGUAACAACGUAGAUGCAAUACAAAUUUCGAAAGAUAUAUCGAAAGAAGGAAGAGAUUUUAUUAAGAAGUGUUUGAUAAUAAGUCCGUAUAAAAGAAGACCGAGCUGGUUGUUGAACAAGCAUCCUUUUGUUUGUGUUUGAACAAUUUGUUGAAUGAAUGAAGUCAAGAAAUUAAAAGAGAUGCUUGUAAUUUUUGUCAAUCUCAAAUCAUAUAUAUAAUAUUUUUGUUGGUUUUA